rnacentral:rRNA from 1 species
AAAGCUCAAAUUUAAAAUCUGGCAGCCUUUGGUUGUCCGAGUUGUAAAUUAGAGAAGCGCUAUCCGCGUUGGCCUGUGCAAAAGUCUCUUGGAAAAGAGCAUCAUAGAGGGUGACAAUCCCGUCUUUGGCACAGACUACCAGGGCAUUGUGAUACGCUCUCAAU